CUAUGGCAACCACCCCACUGAUGACAAAAAUCCUAGAAGGAUGUACGCAUAAGUUGAAGUGUUGAGAAGACAGUGGCUCAGAAUUAAGCAUGGAACAAGAUUCAAACUGAGAGAGAUGGAAGAAAAACAUUUAGAUAUAUCUGGCAUAAUCCAAGACUACUUACAACAAGUGUUCUGUGUUUCUAAUAAAACAGACUUCACCUCUGAGUACCUACAGACCUAGGACCCCAAUGACCAGGUAGAAGGAAAAACAACUUGUUGAAGAUUACUUUUCCUGACUCCCAGCUUCUGUGGAGAGAUUAACUCUGUGGGCUGCAGCCCUGGUCCCAAUUCUUUGGCUAGACCCUGGGUCCUUCGUGUUAGAUAACCUGGCUUUAACUGCUACUCAUAGUACUACUGC